UGGGGAAUCUUGCGCAAUGGGGGAAACCCUGACGCAGCGACGCCGCGUGCGGGAUGAAGGCCUUCGGGUUGUAAACCGCUUUCAGCAGGGACGAGGCCUUAUGGUGACGGUACCUGCAGAAGAAGCUCCGGCUAAAUACGUGCCAGCAGCCGCGGUAAUACGUAUGGAGCAAGCGUUAUCCGGAUUCAUUGGGCGUAAAGCGCUCGUAGGCGGUCUGUUAGGUCGGCAAGUUAAAUCCGGGGGCUCAACCCCCGUCCGCUUCCGAUACCGGCAGACUUGAGUUUGGGAGGGGAAGGUGGAAUUGCUAGUGUAGCGGUGGAAUGCGCAGAUAUUAGGAAGAAAACCGGUGGCGAAGGCGGCCUUCUGGGCCAUAACUGACGCUGAGGAGCGAAAGCUAGGGGAGCGAACAGG
rnacentral:rRNA from 1 species